CGGAAGGUCCGGGCGUUAUCCGGAUUUAUUGGGUUUAAAGGGAGCGUAGGCCGUCUGUUAAGCGUGUUGUGAAAUGUCGGGGCUCAACCUGGGCAUUGCAGCGCGAACUGGCAGACUUGAGUGCGCAGGAAGUAGGCGGAAUUCGUCGUGUAGCGGUGAAAUGCUUAGAUAUGACGAAGAACUCCGAUUGCGAAGGCAGCCUGCUGUAGCGUAACUGACGCUGAAGCUCGAAAGCGUGGGUAUCGA
rnacentral:rRNA from 1 species